CACCCCAACUCGAAAAUCCCAAAUUAGAGUUCUAGGGUUUUAUUGUCGACUUUCGAUCAUUCCUCUGUUCUGCGAAAAAUGUUUCCAGGAAUGUUCAUGCGUAAGCCUGACAAGGCUGCUGCACUCAAGCAGCUCCGAUCACACGUUGCUAUGUUCGGCGUAUGGGUUGCUGUAAUUCGAGUUACCCCCUAUGUUCUUCACUACCUUUCCGACGAGAAAGAAGAACUCAAGCUCGACUUUUAGUUUUUGACUGGAGCAUGGGGUUAGGCUUUUCAAAUCACAACUUUUUUCUUCUUCUAUUGAUCCCAUGAGGAACAAAAGGAAGGAGGCUCUUCAUCUUUUUCAUUUUUACCUUUUAUAUUGAAUCAUAGGCCUAUGGUUAAUAUGGCGUGUGAGACUUGAAACCAUUCCAUUAAAUCACAAGUUGGCUAUGGGGCAGAUAAUGCAGGUUGCAUUAUAGGUAGUUGGUAGACUAUGUUAAUGUGAGAUGCAGAUGACACUGUCCUUCUAUGCAGCCAAAGUUAUUGCCUCAAUUAUUAUUAUAACUUUGUUCCCAUAUUGAACUUCCUAUGAGUAUAAUGAAUUCCCCCUAGCCAGAGUUAGUGAGAUCA